GUGGCCAAGUUAGUAAGGGCGCACGGUGGAUGCCUUGGCACCAGGAGCCGAUGAAGGACGUGGGAGGCCGCGAUAGGCCUCGGGGAGCUGCCAACCGAGCUGUGAUCCGAGGGUGUCCGAAUGGGGAAACCCGGCCCCAGUCAUGUGGGGUCACCCGCACCUGAAUGUAUAGGGUGUGUGGAGGGAACGCGGGGAAGUGAAACAUCUCAGUACCCGCAGGAGGAGAAAACAACCGUGAUUCCGUGAGUAGUGGCGAGCGAAAGCGGAUGAGGCUAAACCAUGCAUGUGUGAUACCUGGCAGGGGUUGCGUGUGUGGGGUUGUGGGACCCGUCGGUCAGGUCUGCCAGCCUGGCGGGGAGUCAGAAAGUGGUGUGCUAGUCGAAUACGUCUGGAAAGCGUGACCGGAGUGGGUGAGAGUCCCGUAGACGAAAGUGCACUGCCUCCCGAUGGGGUUCCCAAGUAGCAGCGAGCUCGUGGAAUUUGCUGUGAAUCUGGCGGGACCACCCGCUAAGCCUAAAUACUCCCUGGUGACCGAUAGCGGACGAGUACCGUGAGGGAAAGGUGAAAAGUACCCCGGGAGGGGAGUGAAAGAGUACCUGAAACCGUGUGCCUACAAUCCGUCAGAGCCUUCGGGUGAUGGCGUGCCUUUUGAAGAAUGAGCCUGCGAGUUAGUGGUGCGUGGCGAGGUUAACCCGUGUGGGGUAGCCGUAGCGAAAGCGAGUCUGAAUAGGGCGUUUGAGUCGCGUGCUCUAGACCCGAAGCGGGGUGAUCUACCCAUGGCCAGGGUGAAGCGCCGGUAAGACGGCGUGGAGGCCCGAACCCACCAGGGUUGAAAACCUGGGGGAUGAGCUGUGGGUAGGGGUGAAAGGCCAAUCAAACUCCGUGAUAGCUGGUUCUCCCCGAAAUGCAUUUAGGUGCAGCGUCGUGUGUUUCACCCUGGAGGUAGAGCACUGGAUGGCCUAGGGGGCCUACAAGCUUACCGAAGUCAGCCAAACUCCGAAUGCCGGGGUGUGAGAGCGCGGCAGUGAGACUGCGGGGGAUAAGCUUCGUAGUCGAGAGGGAAACAGCCCAGAUCACCGGCUAAGGCCCCUAAGUGUGCGCUAAGUGGGAAAGGAUGUGGGGUCGCUGAGACAACCAGGAGGUUGGCUUAGAAGCAGCCACCCUUUAAAGAGUGCGUAAUAGCUCACUGGUCAAGUGGUUCCGCGCCGACAAUGUAGCGGGGCUUAAGCGUACCGCCGAAGCCGUGGCACUCACACAGUUGAUCCGCCUCUGACUUUGUGUUGGGGGUGCAGUCGUGUGGGUGGGUAGGGGAGCGUCGUGUCACCGUGGAAGCAGCCGUGUAAGCGAGUUGUGGAGGUGACGCGAGUGAGAAUGCAGGCAUGAGUAGCGAAUGCAGAGUGAGAAACUCUGCCGCCGGAUGACCAAGGGUUCCUGGGCUAGGCUAAUCCGCCCAGGGUAAGCCGGGACCUAAGGCGAGGCCGACAGGCGUAGUCGAUGGAUAACGGGUUGAUAUUCCCGUGCCCGUGUGGAUGCGCCCAUGGCGAGGCUGGUGAUGCUAACCGCCCGAUCCGCAUGAUGCCUUUCGGGGUGUUGUGUUGGGGAGCGCGGGAACCGAAUCAGUAGUAGUCAAGCGAUGGGGUGACGCAGGAGGGUAGCUCCGCCAGUGAGUGGUUGUACUGGUGUAAGGGUGUAGCCAGUUGGGGUAGGCAAAUCCGUCCCAAUGUUAAUGGUGAGACCUGAUGCAUAGCCGAUUGAGGCGAAGUAGGGUGAUCCCAUGCUGCCGAGAAAAGCCUCUAGUGAGUGUCCAUGCGGCCCGUACCCGAAACCGACACAGGUGGUCAGGUAGAGAAUACCAAGGCGAUCGGGUGAACUGUGGUUAAGGAACUCGGCAAAAUGCCCCCGUAACUUCGGGAGAAGGGGGGCCGGGUGGUUUGAAGCCCCUUGCGGGCUAGGGCUGUCUGGCCGCAGAGACCAGGGAGAAGCGACUGUUUACUAAAAACACAGGUCCGUGCGAAGUCGUAAGACGAUGUAUACGGACUGACGCCUGCCCGGUGCUGGAACGUUAAGGGGACGGGUUAGUGGCCCUUUUGGGGUUGCGAAGCUCAGAACUUAAGCGCCAGUAAACGGCGGUGGUAACUAUAACCAUCCUAAGGUAGCGAAAUUCCUUGUCGGGUAAGUUCCGACCUGCACGAAUGGCGUAACGACUUCUCCGCUGUCUCAACCACAGGCCCGGCGAAAUUGCAUUACGAGUAAAGAUGCUCGUUACGCGCGGCAGGACGGAAAGACCCCGGGACCUUUACUAUAGCUUGGUAUUGGUGCUUGGUUCGGCUUGUGUAGGAUAGGUGGGAGACUGUGAAGCCUGGACGCUAGUUCGGGUGGAGUCGUUGUUGAAAUACCACUCUGGUCGUACUGGGUGUCUAACCUCGGACCGUGAUCCGGUUCAGGGACAGUGCCUGGUGGGUAGUUUAACUGGGGCGGUUGCCUCCCAAAGGGUAACGGAGGCGCCCAAAGGUUCCCUCAGCCUGGUUGGCAAUCAGGUGUUGAGUGUAAGUGCACAAGGGAGCUUGACUGUGAGACCGACGGGUCGAGCAGGGACGAAAGUCGGGACUAGUGAUCCGGCACUGGCUGGUGGAAGCGGUGUCGCUCAACGGAUAAAAGGUACCCCGGGGAUAACAGGCUGAUCUUGCCCAAGAGUCCAUAUCGACGGCAUGGUUUGGCACCUCGAUGUCGGCUCGUCGCAUCCUGGGGCUGGAGUAGGUCCCAAGGGUUGGGCUGUUCGCCCAUUAAAGCGGUACGCGAGCUGGGUUUAGAACGUCGUGAGACAGUUCGGUCCCUAUCCGCCGCGCGCGUAGGAGGCUUGAGGAAGGCUGUCCCUAGUACGAGAGGACCGGGACGGACGAACCUCUGGUGUGCCAGUUGUUCCGCCAGGGGCAUGGCUGGUUGGCUACGUUCGGAAGGGAUAACCGCUGAAAGCAUCUAAGCGGGAAGCUCGUUCCUAGAUGAGGUCUCCCUCCCACUUUGUUGGGGUAAGGCUCCCAGUAGAUGACUGGGUUGAUAGGCCGGAGAUGGAAGCUCUGUGAGGGGUGGAGUUGACCGGUACUAAUAGGCCGAGUGGCUUGUCCAU
rnacentral:rRNA from 1 species